GUGGGGAAUAUUGGACAAUGGGCGCAAGCCUGAUCCAGCCAUGCCGCGUGAGUGAUGAAGGCCCUAGGGUUGUAAAGCUCUUUCACCGGAGAAGAUAAUGACGGUAUCCGGAGAAGAAGCCCCGGCUAACUUCGUGCCAGCAGCCGCGGUAAUACGAAGGGGGCUAGCGUUGUUCGGAAUUACUGGGCGUAAAGCGCACGUAGGCGGAUAUUUAAGUCAGGGGUGAAAUCCCGGAGCUCAACUCCGGAACUGCCUUUGAUACUGGGUAUCUCGAGUAUGGAAGAGGUGAGUGGAAUUCCGAGUGUAGAGGUGAAAUUCGUAGAUAUUCGGAGGAACACCAGUGGCGAAGGCGGCUCACUGGUCCAUUACUGACGCUGAGGUGCGAAAGCGUGGGGAGCAAACAGGAUUAGAUACCCUAGUAGUCC
rnacentral:rRNA from 1 species